rnacentral:rRNA from 1 species
UACGUAGGGUGCGAGCGUUGUCCGGAAUUAUUGGGCGUAAAGGGCUCGUAGGCGGUUUGUCGCGUCGGGAGUGAAAUCCACUGGCUUAACUGGUGGCUUGCUUUCGAUACGGGCAGACUGGAGGUAUGCAGGGGAGAACGGAAUUCCUGGUGUAGCGGUGAAAUGCGCAGAUAUCAGGAAGAACACCCGUGGCGAAGGCGGCUCUCUGGGACGGUACUGACGCUGAGACGCGAAAGCGUGGGGGAGCGAACAGG